CAACGACCAGUAAUGUUGAAAGCAAAAUGAUUUUAAUAGAAAACAAUAGGACUAGAAUAUGUUAAGGGUAAGUAAUCCAAAAGUGUCUGUUUAGGGUAAAAAUAGUCGGUUAUUUACCGUUUGCUAUGAUUUCAAUCCAACAAACAUGAGACAAAAACAUAAUAAACAUAGUAUGCAGACUGUUUUCAUAAGGAAAUAGACUGAAAAUAUCUACAUUUAACAGUCAGACAUAUAUUAUAUACUAAAUUAUUCAAGGCAAAAUUAAUUUUGGUAUCAUUUUAGUCUCUUGUGGACAGUUGUUUCAUUGGCAAUCAUACCACAUCUUCUUUUUUAUAUAUAAAAGUUGCCAAUGGAAUACAUGGAGGAUGGAAAUUAAAAUUUAUGAGAUAUAGGUCAAGGAAUCGUACACAGACUUUAUGGUAUUCUUUUAAUAGUUUAAAGACUUUAUUUUGUUAUCUAUGCUGUAUACAUGUAAAGAUAGUUACAUUUGGAUUUAAAACCAAAUUUCAAGAAUGAAGGGUACCAUAAUUUAAAUUUAAUUUAUGAUACAAAAAAAUAUAUAAGGGAAUUAACUCUUACAUGAUGUGCAUCAUAUCGAUGCAAAUGAAGCGUUUUAAUAAAUCUGACGUUUUUUAGAUAAGAACCUGACUUGAGCAGACUGUAUUGGGGUCAUAGAUGGCAAUAACAAUGAAAUACAAUAUAUUAUAAUUAUCAUUCUUCAUUACUUUUUGAUUGAAUUAACAAACUUAAUUUAAUAACAAAAUAUUUCAUUUUCAGUAGACAACACAUCCUGUCAGAGGAAUAAUUUUACUGGAGGAUAAAAAUUUUGAUACCUGGAAUCAGCAAUUUAUAUGAAAUUUGUUAUGAGAGAUAUAUUCAUGUACAGAAUGGUAAUCCAGGUGGUUCAAGUGAUUAUAAGCACACAUUUUUGUUGAACUACAUGUAAUGCAGGAUUUAAUAAAUGAAAG
rnacentral:lncRNA from 1 species